UACGUAGGCAGCGAGCGUUGUUCGGAGUUACUGGGCGUAAAGGGUGUGUAGGCGGUUGUUUAAGUUUGGUGUGAAAUCUCCCGGCUCAACUGGGAGGGUGCGCCGAAUACUGAAUGACUUCGAGUGCGGGGAGAGGAGGAGUGGAAUUCCUGGUGUAGCGGUGAAAUGCGUAGAUAUCAGGAGGAACACCGGUGGUGUAGACGGCUCUCUGGACCGUAACUGACGCUGAGACACGAAAGCGUGGGUAGCAAACAGG
rnacentral:rRNA from 1 species